CCUACGGGUGGCUGCAGUGGGGAAUAUUGGACAAUGGGGGGAACCCUGAUCCAGCCAUGCCGCGUGUGUGAAGAAGGCCCUCGGGUUGUAAAGCACUUUCAGUGAGGAAGAACGCCUGGUGGUUAAUACCCAUCAGGAAAGACAUCACUCACAGAAGAAGCACCGGCUAACUCCGUGCCAGCAGCCGCGGUAAUACGGAGGGUGCGAGCGUUAAUCGGAAUUACUGGGCGUAAAGCGCGCGUAGGUGGCUUGAUAAGCCGGUUGUGAAAGCCCCGGGCUCAACCUGGGAACGGCAUCCGGAACUGUCAAGCUAGAGUGCAGGAGAGGAAGGUAGAAUUCCCGGUGUAGCGGUGAAAUGCGUAGAGAUCGGGAGGAAUACCAGUGGCGAAGGCGGCCUUCUGGACUGACACUGACACUGAGGUGCGAAAGCGUGGGUAGCAAACAGGAUUAGAUACCAGAGUAGUC
rnacentral:rRNA from 1 species